rnacentral:rRNA from 1 species
GACGAACGCUGGCGGCGUGCCUAAUACAUGCAAGUAGAACGCACAGUUUAUACCGUAGCUUGCUACACCAUAGACUGUGAGUUGCGAACGGGUGAGUAACGCGUAGGUAACCUGCCUGGUAGCGGGGGAUAACUAUUGGAAACGAUAGCUAAUACCGCAUAAUAUUGAUUAUUGCAUGAUAAUUGAUUGAAAGAUGCUAUUGCAUCACUACCAGAUGGACCUGCGUUGUAUUAGCUAGUAGGUGAGGUAACGGCUCACCUAGGCGACGAUACAUAGCCGACCUGAGAGGGUGAUCGACCAAACUGGGACUGAGAAACGGCCCAGACUCCUACGGGAGGCAGCAGUAGGGAAUCUUCGGCAAUGGACGAAAGUCUGACCGAGCAACGCCGCGUGAGUGAAGAAGGGUUUCGGAUCGUAAAGCUCUGUUGUAAGAGAAGAACGGGUGUGAGAGUGGAAAGUUCACACUGUGACGGUAUCUUACCAGAAAGGGACGGCUAACUACGUG